rnacentral:rRNA from 1 species
UACCAGCACCCCGAGUGGUCGGGACGUUUAUUGGGCCUAAAGCAUCCGUAGCCGGUUCCACAAGUCUUCCGUUAAAUCCACCUGCUUAACAGAUGGGCUGCGGAAGAUACUAUAGAGCUAGGAGGCGGGAGAGGCAAGCGGUACUCGAUGGGUAGGGGUAAAAUCCGUUGAUCCAUUGAAGACCACCAGUGGCGAAGGCGGCUUGCCAGAACGCGCUCGACGGUGAGGGAUGAAAGCUGGGGGAGCAAACCGG